rnacentral:lncRNA from 1 species
AUGGCCAAGUCCAAGAACCACAACACACAUGACCAGUUCCAAAAACGGCACAGAAAUGGUAUCAAGAAACCUCAGUCACAAAGAUCGGUGUCUCUAAAGGGGGUGGAUCCCAAAUUCCUGAGGAACAUGCCCUUUGCCAAGAAGCACAGCAAGAAGGGCCUAAAGAAGAUGCAGGCCAACAGUGCCAAGGCCAUGAGUGCACGUGCCAAGGCUAUCAAGGCCCUCGUAAAGCCCAAGGAGGUUAAGCCCAAGAUCCCAAAGGGUGUCAGCCGCAAGCUCAAUCAGCUUGCCUACACUGGCUACCCCAAGCUUGGGAAGCAUGCUUGUGCCCGCAUUGCCAAGGCGCUCAGGCUGUGCCGGCCAAAGGCCAAGGCCAAGGAUCAAACCAAGGCCCAGGCUGCAGCUCCGGCUUCAGUUCCAGCUCAGGCUCCCAAAGGUGCCCAGUCCCCCUACAAAGGCUUCAGA